CUACCUAUCAGCCAACUCUUCAGCCAUCCAUCCACCCAUCUGUCAUGUCUGUCUGUCAUCUUUCUGUCCAUCCAUCUGUUCAUAUCCAUGCAUCCAUCCAGCCAUCCAUCCAUCCGUUAAAUCUGAACAGCUCUCUCAGCUCCUUGCACAGAAAGUGAUUACACCACUCCUCUGCAGAAGAAUGACUCAGAGCCAAAGUAUUAAUCUUCCCACAAAGGUCUAACAAACAUUUUCUGAACUCAUCCCAAUUUUAGAUCACCCUGAGGAUUUCUGGAGAACUGACUCAGGCGGGCUUGGAAGGACAGAGAGCUUGCAUAUUCCAUCUCGCUUUCACGUAUAACACAGUUGGCUUUAAAAUAUGUUUUCACAGGAAUAUAGAGCCAUUUUUUAACUCAGCAUUUUCUUACUUAUUUUCCCCAAGUGAAAGAUUUCAUGCUUUGAUGACCUUGUCUAAAUGUAAAAGCUUUAAUCAAAAUUGAUACGACAGUGUGGAGGAAGAGGAACCCUUUUAACUGAAGGUCGAAAUGCACACUGGUACAGCCACUCUGGAAAACAGCAUGGAGGGUCCUCAAAAAUUCAAAAUAGAACUACCGUAUGAUCCAGUAAUUCCACUUCUGGGAAUACAUCUAAAGGAAAUAACACUAACUUGAAGAGCUAUCUGUACACCUAUGUUCAAAGCAACAUUACUUAUAACAGCCAAGACAUGGAAACAACUUAAGCGUCUAUCGAUGGACGAAUGGAUAAAGAAGGUGUGGCAUAUAUAAAUCAAACCACAACAUAUAUAAAUCAAACCAUUAGGCUAUACACCUUAAACUUGCACAAUGAUACAUGUCAGUUAUUUCUCAAACUGGACAAAAAACUGAUACCACUAGAGAACUUUUUGUGAAUAAGACAUAGAUCAUUUUAUCAAAAACAGCACUGAAGCUCAUUUUGUUUUUAGUAGGAAGGUGUACUUUAAUAACCUGAAUUUAUCCAUGGCUUCAGAGUUUCAACAGUGAGAACAGGAAAUAUAUUCACUUUUAGAAGACGGGAUUGAAUGCUUCCAUCCGAUUGGUACGCCUUUGUGGUCUGUGGAGAAGAGGGGGUUUGACUGGAUGAUCUCUAAAGUCCCGUCGAGGUACGUAUUUUAAUAUUCUCAUUACAAAGAGCAAACGUAAUGUCCUGUAGACAGAACGGGCAAGUUGGACGAUCCACGAAAGGUGGAAAUGCAGCAUGUGGGCAGACCCUCGGUCCAAGUGUCUACGCAAGAUGUGGCUGUUCCAUGGGCUGAGUCAUGCAUGUGACUGGAUGUUGUUCAUUUGCAUCUCAAGGGCAUCUCCCAGGUGAUCUGAUGCAGCCGUUAUGGGGGUGGCAUGGAGGGGUGCCAUAGAUUGUGUGUGUCCCCCCAAAUUCAUAUGUUUUUGAUGCCUAAACCCCAGGUUGAUUCUGUUCCACAGUGGGGCCUUUGGGAGGACGUGAAGUCAUGAAGGUGGGACCCCCGUGAAUCAGAAUCGUGCCCUUAAAACAAGAGGUUGAAAGAAGUCGUUUUUCUCUCCCCGCUCUGUGAAGACACAGCAGUAAGACAGCGUGAUGAACCAGAAGACAGUCCUCGCCAGCCACCAAUCUUGCCCACACCUGGAUGUUGGACUUCCAGCUUCCCAAAAUGUGACGUUUUACAAGCCUUUCACGGAAUCAGUGUGUCUACAUGUGUGCCGAGCCAACAAACACAUUCUCGGAAGGGAAGGGGCAUUUGGCUGCACCUGGCUCUUCUCUCACCUGAGACGUGCAUGCACUUGGCUGAGAUGUGUAUGCAUUUGACCGAGAUGUGUAGACCUUACCAGAACCUUAUUUUAUUUGGAUUCUGGAUACAGGGACGCAGGUGGAAGCGAUGGCUGGAGCUUCAGCAUCCACCUUGAGCCACGAGUCAACCUUGAGGAUGGAAGUCAUGUGUUGGGGUGUGAGAGCAGAUAGAUAACAGGAGGGUUCCUGGGCAUCUUGAAGCCACCACACAGGCCCUGAUCCUUCCAAAUAUCGGAAGCUUUCAGGUUUGUUUUUAGUUUUGUCUGAGUCUGACGCUCAUCUGCUACUAAUUCUCUUAAGGAAAACUACCUGGUGAGUCUUGCAGAAACGUCUGGCUGUCACCGAGCACUGCUGACUUUCUAAACAUCAGGAUUUCAGUUUCCUACCACGGGCCUCCGGUUUGUUUGCUCUCGACGUCAAGCUACUCGCACAGGACUGUAAAUUCUUUGAGGAAACCAAACAUUCCUAUAGUUGAAUCCAGGACAGAAUUCGGUAAUUCGUCUGUUGUUCCCUCUGGCCAAGCCGGGAGCAGAUGAACGCGAGUGAGCCGUGUCGAGGUCACAAAUCUGUGUGUGCGCGUUAGCGGUGAGGACGGGAGGGGAGUAAAAUGACAAGCACCCUCCUCCUCUUCCCCACUCUCUGAGCGCAGAGAGUGUGAGAAAAUUAGCGCCUCCCCAACGUGUUCAAGAAAGUAAACUUGGAUUUCCUCACUGGCGGUCCUUCCUUAGCCCAGUUCCCAGCGCAGGAAGAGCACACGGCACCUGGUCCACCACGGCCCCAGAUGUUCGCUUCGUGACAUCUGCUUUAUGACAUUAAUUACUUGAUGACAUAAAGUCAUUACUUGAUAACAUAAAGCUCGUUGGUGGAGGUCACACAACGAGCUGUGAAAACUCCACAAGUGCGUAAAGAAUCCCCUUAAGAGCACAGCAACGGACUGGCGGUCAACUUGAGCUGUGAGUUUUAGCAAGGAGCACCCCCAUAGGUGUCUGCGUGCUGGAUGCAAGCCUCCAGAGGGCACUCGUUCCGAAUUUGCUUGGAACUCAGGGCAGCCCUUCCCCACCAGCAGAAUGGCAGUGAGGCUCUCCCUGCGGUGGUGUUCUCCCUACGUUCUGAACAAGAAACUUGCAAAUUUUAGAUCUCAGACUUUUUUUUUUUAAUUACUAAACUACUCUAUGACCCAGAGACCUUUGUGUGGUUUGAUGGGGCAUGAGGCAGGGGUUAAGAUGUCCAGAUGGAACAGUGACUGGAAUGACAGGCACAGCUCACCGCAAGAAGGGGGAGUGCGAGGGGUCCCCAGCAGAACCCAGGAAGCACAUGCCACAGAUGGUCCAGUGACAGGACCUUAUCCAAGGACGAGUGAAAGGUGGGGGCAGAGUCUGCCCACAGCAGGUCUGCCGACAUCACUCCCCGAGGCUGUUUCCAUUGUGGGGCAGAACGCGGGGAGGAUGACAGGGACGCAGGAGGCUUUUGAGAUGUAAGCUGCGGAGACAGGUCGGGGGGAACAAGGUGGCGGGUGGGAGACAGUGACAGGUUAAAGGGACCUGGUGGGGCGGAAGUGUGAAGUUGGAAGGGCCUGAGGGGACAGUGUGAGGUUGGAGGGACCUGGGGGGGACAGUGUGAGGUUGGAGGGACCUGAAGUAGGGACAGUGUGAGCUUGGAGGGGAGGGAUCUAGGAGGGUCAGUGUGAGAUUGGAGGGACCUGGGUGGGUUGUGGGGCUGGAGAGAUGCAGGAAGACAUGGUGUGUUUGGAGGGACCUGGCGAGGACAGGUGUGUUUGGUGGUCCCUUGGGGGGAGUGUGAGGCUGGGGGUUUGCAGCCUGUGGUGGGUGAGGUCCAGGACCCCUCGUCCCACCCUCAGAUGUGUGUCAGUCCCUGAGUCCCGGCCGUGCUGGAGUCUGCCUGCAAGGGCUUCCUGGAGAAUGGUCUGAAGCUUCAGUGUUUCGGGCACCAAGCAGAGCAGAAAAGGGAAAUGCAAGCAGACAUAAUUCUAUGGAAAAUAACCAGUAGACACCAGAAUGAAAGAUUGGAUUCGGUUUACACACGCACACACAUGCCUCCCGUGACAAAGGAAAAAGCAACCCUUCCCAUUGCUGGCAAAGAAAACUGAGUCGGGCUCCCUGGAGCCGUCACUUACAUUUAUGGCAGAGUCUGAAAAUGUCAGCGUGCCCUGGGCACCACUGUGACAUGGAGAGAUUUGUGUUCAUUCUCUUUCUCCUUCUGGAGUAGCUUUUCUCUCCUGGACGUGUGUCCGCUGACAGACACCUUUUCUGAUCCCCAGGACGUUCUGACCAACCCCUUCAUCCUUCCUCGCCAAGCUCAUGACCACUGUUCUUAAUCACGCACCCUGGGCAGAAAUCCCUGGAUUUGCUGAAAAUCUUAGCAAUAGAAUGCCUUCAAGUUGGGGGUUUCAGUUACCCCAAUAGGACCAGAGGGACAGUGUUUUUUAUUGUCUACAGGGAGUUGGCUGCCGGGGGCAAUGGCCUUAUUUGUCCUUUUGCAAUUUGCAACCCUUUCCUUGUUUUGCACCCAAAUGGUCCUGUCCUGGUCCCUCACCUAUCGAAUGCUUGGACCUUGAUGGUUUAUCUCAUCUCCGAAUGCACUCUCCUGGGGAGCAUGGGUGUAUAAAUUUUCAGGGGUAUUAGACUUCAGCUGAGUCACGCCAGCGCCUCGGUCACAGCCUGGGAUCUCAGAUGCCCCACGGGUUUUAAACCAGGCAAGAUGAGUCCCGUCUACUGCACGCUUUUCCUGGGAUUGUGGCCUUCCAUGUUCAUUCCAUGGGAGACAUCUCACCGUAAUUUAACACCUGUGAAUGACGCGUGUGCCUCCCUUUCAUCCCCAAACCGUCUUCCCUUCUCACCCCCAUAGGUCUCGAUAGACAGGAAGGCUGAAGCAUUUCCUGCAGGGCAGCCCUGUGUUUGCGCUCUUGGAAAUCACCGCACGCGUCCCGUGGUACGGUCCUGUCAAGACGUCUCCUUCUGCAGGACCUCAUGCCACCAAGGGACAAAUCCACCCUGCUCAUGAGUUCCUACUUCUUCCCCCUGUGAUUUCGUGAGCCCACGAAGACCCCAGAUGAACCGAAAUUCUGAUAUCCUGAAAUGGUGUACUGAGUGGAAUAUUGCAUACUGCCCAGUCUGUGAAGAGGAAAGAUUUAAACAUAAACGGCUCAUCUGACAGUGUGUGACCUGGUCUGAGGUCGUGCACUCAGUGGAAACCAGCCCUGCACUUGUGUGGAGGGAACCAGCGCGCCCAACGGAACUUCCCAAGUCAGAGACUCAAAGGCCAAUACAAGGCUUAACCAGCUCUGCUUGGGAAUUUCCAGAAUCGCGGAUGUCCAAGGCGGGCCAUCUGACAUUGUGAUGAUAUCCCAACGCAUUCCCUAGGACGGAACACAGCGCUCGCCGGAUUCUAAGCAUCACGUGAGAAAACAUCGUUCCCUCAUGUCGCCUGUGCUUACACCGGCGUUCUUGGCAACCUCAUCAGGACCUAACGGACGUGAUUUCACCGUGGGAGACAGCCCAGCCAUCAGAGCCCUGUGCCCAUGGCAGGUGGAAGGAAGUAAAAAAUGUUCUACCACCCCAACACCAAGGGUUAGAACAGCAAAUGGUGGUCACCGAGACCAGUGGGUUUGCAUGCAGUAAUCUCAUACAGUGGUCCUGAUGACCUAAAAUGAUCUUUUGCAUGCAAUGUCUCCUGAGACUUCACAAAGACACUGUAUUGUUCAAAUCCAGAAACUCUGCGGUUGGAACCAUGACUCAUGGCUCCAUUCCCCAAGGAGGCAUGCCAUCAUCUUCUGGGAUUCUGGAAGGAGAGUCCGUUCUAUGCUAGCAUGAGAUGAGUUUGUAUGCCUGCAACCUGCUUGGAUCAGGAGGGUCUUGCCACCGGCAGACAUCCCUUCCCUGGGCUCCCCAUGUACAGUGAGUGGAGAGUCCCCCCAUAAUGAAAUGCAAUGAUAUCUACUGGCAACGGCCCAACCUGGCGAUGGAUGAGGAAGCUUGGAACCAUUUGGAGAGGAAAUCCAUGACGCAUAUCUAUCUACCUCGAAACUUGCGGCUCACUAGAUAAUGUAAAAAGUCCUGCUAUGAACGAAAACCAAAUUCUGAAGAAUCCCUACGAGUGCCCUAUAUCUAAAUAGAUGAAUGAAACACAAGACUUGGGCUUCUCAGAGGAACCAGCAAGAAACGCCGAGAAGCAAAAAACGUUGACCAGUCGUGUUUGAAAAAUGAGCCAUGAGAGCUGUGCCCAACACCGUCUGUCAUUUGAGAUACACAAGAUUGCUCAAACUAAGUCAGCUGGCUGUUGGGCCCCUGGGGGGCUCAGUCGGUGAAGCAUCUGCCUUUGGCCCAGGUUAUGAUCUCAGCAUCCUGGGAUCGAGUCCCGCGUCAGGCUCCUGGCUCAGCGGGGAGUCAGCUUCUCCCUCU